rnacentral:rRNA from 1 species
UACGGGGGGGGCAAGCGUUGUUCGGAAUUACUGGGCGUAAAGGGCUCGUAGGUGGCCAACUAAGUCAGACGUGAAAUCCCUCAGCUUAACUGGGGAACUGCGUCUGAUACUGGAUGGCUUGAGUUUGGGAGAGGGAUGCGGAAUUCCAGGUGUAGCGGUGAAAUGCGUAGAUACAAUCAAGAACUCCGAUUGCGUAGGCAGCUAACUAGGCUGUAACUGACGCUGAGGCACGAAAGCGUGGGGAGCGAACAGG